rnacentral:rRNA from 1 species
UACGUAGGGUGCGAGCGUUAAUCGGAAUUACUGGGCGUAAAGCGUGCGCAGGCGGUUUCUUAAGCAAGAUGUGAAAUCCCCGGGCUUAACCUGGGAACUGCAUUUUGAACUGGGAGACUAGAGUGUGUCAGAGGGGGGUGGAAUUCCACGUGUAGCAGUGAAAUGCGUAGAGAUGUGGAGGAACACCGAUGGCGAAGGCAGCCCCCUGGGAUAACACUGACGCUCAUGCACGAAAGCGUGGGGAGCAAACAGGAUUAGAUACCCUGGUAGUCCACGCCCUAAACGAUGACAACUGGUUGUUGGGAGAGCAAUCUCUUAGUAACGAAGCUAACGCGUGAAGUUGACCGCCUGGGGAGUACGGCCGCAAGGUUGAA